UACGAAGGGGGCUAGCGUUGCUCGGAAUCACUGGGCGUAAAGCGCACGUAGGCGGGUCGUUAAGUCAGGGGUGAAAUCCUGGAGCUCAACUCCAGAACUGCCUUUGAUACUGGCGACCUCGAGUUCGAGAGAGGUUGGUGGAACUCCGAGUGUAGAGGUGAAAUUCGUAGAUAUUCGGAAGAACACCAGUGGCGAAGGCGGCCAACUGGCUCGAUACUGACGCUGAGGUGCGAAAGCGUGGGGAGCAAACAGG
rnacentral:rRNA from 1 species